ensembl:miRNA MIR7856 microRNA 7856
UGUUUUAAGGACACUGAGGGAUCCUUUGUUCUGGAUCCCUCAGUGUCCUUAAAACA